rnacentral:rRNA from 1 species
CCUACGGGAGGCAGCAGUGAGGAAUAUUGGGCAAUGGAGGCAACUCUGACCCAGCCAUGCCGCGUGAGUGAAGAAGGUUUUCGGAUUGUAAAGCUCUUUCGGACGUGACGAUGAUGAAGGUAGCAUCUAAAGAAGCACCGGCUAACCUCGUUCCAGCAGCCGCGGUAAUACGACGGGGGCAAGCGUGUUUCGGAAUUACUGGGCGGAAAGGAAGUGUAGGCGGUUUAGUAAGAUAGUGGUGAAAUCCCAGAGCUUAACUUUGGAAUUGCCAUUAUAACUAGUAGACUAGAAUUACAGAGAGGAUAGUGGAAUACCCAGUGUAGAGGUGAAAUUCGUAGAUAUUGGGUAGAACACCAGUGGCGAAGGCGACUAUCUGGCUGUACAUUGACGCUGAGGCUCGAAAGCAUGGGGAUCAAACAGGAUUAGAUACCCCAGUAGUC